CGGGGACGGCAUUGGGGAAUUUCUGGGAAUUUUUUGGGGAAUUUUGGGAAUUUUGGGGGGAAUUUUGGGGAAUUUUUGGGGGAAUUUUUUUGGGAAUUUUGGGGAAUUUUUGGGGGAAUUUUUUUGGGAAUUUUUGGGGAAUUUUUUUUGAAUUUUGGGAAUUUUUUGGGGAAUUUUUUGGGGAAUUUUGGGGGAAUUUUGGGGAUUUUUUUUUUAAUUUUGAGGAAUUUGGGGGGUCCUGGGAGGGAAUUUUGGGAAAAUCUUGGGAAUUUUGGGGUCCUGGGAGGGAUUUUUGGGAAAAUUUUGGGAAUUUUGGAGUCCUGAGAAGGAUUUUUGGGAAUUUUGGGGAAUUUUUUGGGAAUUUUGGGAAUUUUUGGGGGAAUUUUUUGGGAAUUUUUUUUGAAUUUUUUUUGAAUUUGGGGAAUUUUGGGGGAAUUUUUUGGGGAAUUUUUGGGAUUUUUUUUUUUUAAUUUUGAGGAAUUUGGGGGGUCCUGGGUGGGAAUUUUGGGAAAAUCUUGGGAAUUUUGGGGUCCUGGGGGGGAUUUUUGAGGAAAAUUUUGGGAAUUUUGGGGUCCUGGGAAGGAUUUUUGGGAAUUUUGGGGAAUUUUUUGGGAAUUUUUGGGAAUUUUGGGGGGUCCUGGGGGGGAAUUUUGGGAAUUUUGGGGUCCUGGGAGAGAUUUUGGGAAUUUUGGGAAUUUUUUGGGGAAUUUUGGGGGGGUCCUGGGAGAGAUUCCCGAUUUUUUUUCCAUGGAUUUCAUUCCCAGUUUCCACGACGAUCGCUGGGAGCCGCAGCCGGAGAGCCCCGAGGUUCCGGGGAAGGUUCCGGAAGCGGCUCCGGGGGCUCCGGGGUCUCCGGGGGAUUCGGAUCAAUGGGAGGACGUGAGCGAGGAGGAGGAAGAGGAGCCCGGGGACCCCCCCGGUGCGUCCCAGUUCAAACCAGUUCAAACCAGUAACCCCCAGGGACCCCCCGGGACCCCCCCAGUGCGUCCCAGUUCAAACCAGUUCAAACCAGUAACCCCCAGGGACCCCCCCGGUGCGUCCCAGUUCAAACCAGUUCAAACCAGUAACCCCCAGGGACCCCCCCAGUGCGUCCCAGUUCAAACCAGUAACCCCCAGGGACCCCCAGGGACCCCCCCAGUUCAAACCAGUUCAAACCAGUUCAAACCAGUAACCCCCCGGGACCCCCCCAGUUCAAACCAGUUCAAACCAGUUCAAACC
rnacentral:lncRNA from 1 species